rnacentral:rRNA from 1 species
AUGGCGACCGGCGCACGGGUGAGUAACGCGUAUGCAACUUACCUAUCAGAGGGGGAGUACGCCGGCGAAGUCGGAUUAAUACCCCAUAAAACAGGGGUCCCGCAUGGGAAUAUUUGUUAAAGAUUCAUCGCUGAUAGAUAGGCAUGCGUUUCAUUAGGCAGUUGGCGGGGUAACGGCCCACCAAACCGACGAUGGAUAGGGGUUCUGAGAGGAAGGUCCCCCACAUUGGUACUGAGACACGGACCAA